UAAUAGAAUGUGGUGCAAGUGUGUGAGUGAAUGUGUGGGUGUAGUGCAAGUGUGUGCGACACACAUGAGAAUUCUAAGAAAGAAAUAGUCGAGUUUGUUAUAUAUUCUCGUGUCUGUCCUGUACACAGAAUUUAUCUUUCUUUAUAUCAAUUCAUUGAUCAAACCGUAUUCAAUAAUCAUGUAGACAUUCAAUUCAUUUGAAUGUUAUCAUGGUAUCGGACUCAGAAAUCAUGAAUUUCUGAGGGUAUCGAUCCAUAGAUUCCACCAUUCUUCGUCUCUGAUUCAUCUUCAAGAAGAUUUGUUCCUCAAUUUGAUAAGGUUUUCUAAGAAGUAAAGAUUUACAGGAAUUGGUGAGGGUUUGGAUUUGAUCCUGAUGCUUACUGCAACCUCGUCAAUUAGAAUUAAGCAUGUAUUUUGGAUCUAAAAUUCAGUUUUAGGGUUUGAGCUCUUGGUUAUUUCAAUUUCUUGUUGGUGUAUGGACUGAAAUCUCUUACCUCAUCAACUAUCAUCUGAAUCUCGGCUGGUAAUCUCCAAAUUCAUGUUUAGAUUACUUUAGAUUUGAUCUCAUGUGUUCAAAUUCUACAUCACUUUCUCAACAAAAUUCAAUUUCGUCUUCAGAAUUUUUUUUCAUCGUAACUUUGUUGGAUUUAACCUAGUUUUUUAAUCAAGAUCUACUAAUAUUGAUUCAUGAAUCUAGUUGGUCUGAGAAUGCCUAUUUUUGCUACUAUUGUUAGUUAGGAAGAAGCUUAAUUUUGUCCACCGGGUAGUGGAGAGAAUUUCUCCUUAAAUUCAGUAGGACAUUGAGUUUGACAACCUCAAUGUUCCUUGAUAUGGUCCUCACUGCGGUGUUGAAGUAUUUUGUGCGUGUAAUGAUGGAACUGAGGAUGUUGUUAUGGGAUUGAAAUUGAUGAGAUAUAUAAGUACAGGUUGAAGUUCUUUUUAAUGAGUCUACAUUCAAUUCUGAUGUAGCAUGGUUUAGUUAUCUUUUACUUUCCUAUUUGUUAUUUUGUGUGAUUGAAUAAUAUUAGGUCCAGCUGAGAAUGGUAAUUAGAGAUGGAGUUUUUCAAUGAUGGAUCAGUUGGCAGGUGCUUCUAUUGAGAUGCUUUUAUGUGAGCUUUGUCAUGAGCUGUGUGUGUUGCCCUAUUCCUUUACUGCUCAUGUUCCUGGCAUGCUAUGGGUGUUCUCUACUGAUUGGCAUAUCGCAAUGAAUGCAGAAUACCAAGACUACUCAGUGCUUCUGCUGGAUUGUUACGAGAGGAAGGACUGGAUAGUUAUGACAACUUCAGUUGCUUUCAUCUCUUUAUGUGAACUACUGCUGCAACAAUUACUCUUGCAACAUAAGAUGCUGAACUACCUUAUCCGUUUUACUUCACCAACUGACACUACUAUUGCUAGGUGUCGCCACUGCUCCAUAUGGUCUUUUUAGAAUAUGUGUGUGAGUGAAUGUGUGUGCAAGAUCAAGAAGCCUCUUCAAGCCCCCUUGAGCUUGAGGGAGGGUAAUAGAAUGUGGUGCAAAUGUGUGAGUGAAUGUGUGUGGUGUAGUGCAAGUGUGUGCGACACACAUGAGAAAUCUAAGAGAGAAAGAGUCGAGUCUGCUAUAUAUUCUCAUGACUGUCCUGUACACAGAAUUUAUCUUUCUUUAUAUCAAUUCAUUGGUCAAACCGUAUUCAGUAGUCAUGUAGACAUUCAAUUCAUUUUAAUGUUAUCAACCAUACAUUUGCAACGA